AUAUUCUAUGGUUACACACCAAUACAUUUUAAUUUAGGGAAUUAAAAUGUUGCAAUUACAAUUUUCAAAAAUGUCAUCUUGUUGCCAGAUCUGUGUUGUGUUCCCACAUUGUUGUGCCACAUUCGAUUUGUGACCUGUAAAAGAAACUGCACGUUGUUAUUUAUACAUUGAUUUUCAGCCGUUAAAAAAAAUUGUGAUACAAAUUUUAUGAAUCAGAAAUAGUGUUGAUAAAGUUUUCAAAGGAGAGGCGUUCGGGUGACGGCUGUAAAACGUUUCUGUGGGUCGUCAAGGGUUAAUUUGUGUCUCUGCUGGGCUGCGUGAUCAUUCGAGAGUGCAUUUUCAGCAACCAAUCACGGGCGCGGAUUCUACUCCGCGUUCGACCAAUAGGAGCGAUGGGUGGCUCUAUCGAAUUUGAAUGAGGAGUGUAUCUUUCGGCGCCAUUUUCGAGUGAGCAGCGAUCGCCUCAGCAGCUGCGGAGAGAGGAUGCUGCGAAUAUGUAAAGCUGUCGCCGAGACGGGGAGGGGGAAGAGUCCGAGCGCUCAAAAUUAAACUGUGCUUUCAGGAGAGGGGGAAAUCACGUUAUUUCUAAGGAGACAGAUGGAGAGAGUGCAGUCAUGGAGUAGACGGGAGACAAGAUGCCGACGGACAUCUGAAAGUCUUUCUGCUGGAUCAUACACGACAAAGCUAAUACGAAGAGGGUACAAAUAACAAAGAAGAAGAGAAAAGCUGGACACGGAGUAACCAUGACUGCAGUUCUAGUGAUGCUGUAGCAGCACGGAAUGGUUUGUGGGUUACACAGAGAUGCAGGCCAUACUGUGCUGCAGCAGCAAAACCAGAAUAUUACACCUAACCCUCCAGUCUGUCACCAUUCCUGAUUGAUAUCAGCUUGUUUACUAUCAAACUUGCACACGCAGCACUCGUCAACCACAUUGGCACCACAUCGAAAGAUGUUUUUCCUGAUAAUAAAAGUUAUUCACAUCUGCUGGUGGUUUUACUGUAGCAGCACGUAAAUAUUGGAGUUAAGACUCUAGCUGAAGCCUCCAGUAUUGAUCGUGCUGCUGAAGCAAAGCUUGACCACUCUCAGUCGGUGCACGUCACACGAAUUGUUCCGAGGUACAUUGUUUACUCAGAUUUGCACUUUAAUAUGUUCCUCUUUCUUUUUCUCUCUCUCCUUUUUAUUUGUUUUUUUAAAACAAUACCAGUUUUUCACUUCGUACUGUUCUGUGUAUUUGCUAAAUAAAUAAAUUGGGUUUUGUCUAAUUUGA